CCUCAUUGGUUGUAAAAGGUCAGGACUUGCCAUCUUAAUGGUAAAGUAUGAAUACUUAUUGUUUCAUGGAGAGUUGCCAUCAUGUAUUAACAUACAUUUCUCAUUGGUUGUAGUUAUGUUGCAGUGGAGAUAUGUGGGCUGCUAUUGAUGGUGUAUCAAAGGCUUCUCAAGGUAGUGAAUAUUGGCAAUCAGUCCCAGUUUUGCAUGUCUGCACAGUACUGUACGAUGAAGCAUUACCUACAUUUCUACCUUUUACACAGUACUGUACGAUGAAGCAUUGCCUGCUAUUUUACAGGUUAUGAUUGAAGAUAUUGGGAAGCAGAUUAAGUAACUAUAAACCUACAAGGUGCAGGACAUUGAUUUACUUGACUAGAAUUGUUGAACUGUAAUUUGUUAUACUUUAUAAAUUUGUUUGCAUAUGGUGUAUUUUGAUUCAGUUAAUAUUGCAUUUGGUGGUGUAUUUUGAGGGG